CUUAACACAUGCAAGUCGAACGGAAAGGCCCUGCUUUUGUGGGGUGCUCGAGUGGCGAACGGGUGAGUAACACGUGAGUAACCUGCCCUUGACUUUGGGAUAACUUCAGGAAACUGGGGCUAAUACCGGAUAGGAGCUCCUGCUGCAUGGUGGGGGUUGGAAAGUUUCGGCGGUUGGGGAUGGACUCGCGGCUUAUCAGCUUGUUGGUGGGGUAGUGGCUUACCAAGGCUUUGACGGGUAGCCGGCCUGAGAGGGUGACCGGCCACAUUGGGACUGAGAUACGGCCCAGACUCCUACGGGAGGCAGCAGUGGGGAAUAUUGCACAAUGGGCGGAAGCCUGAUGCAGCAACGCCGCGUGCGGGAUGACGGCCUUCGGGUUGUAAACCGCUUUCGCCUGUGACGAAGCGUGAGUGACGGUAAUGGGUAAAGAAGCACCGGCUAACUACGUGCCAGCAGCCGCGGUGAUACGUAGGGUGCGAGCGUUGUCCGGAUUUAUUGGGCGUAAAGGGCUCGUAGGUGGUUGAUCGCGUCGGAAGUGUAAUCUUGGGGCUUAACCCUGAGCGUGCUUUCGAUACGGGUUGACUUGAGGAAGGUAGGGGAGAAUGGAAUUCCUGGUGGAGCGGUGGAAUGCGCAGAUAUCAGGAGGAACACCAGUGGCGAAGGCGGUUCUCUGGGCCUUUCCUGACGCUGAGGAGCGAAAGCGUGGGGAGCGAACAGGCUUAGAUACCCUGGUAGUCCACGCUGUAAACGGUGGGUACUAGGUGUGGGGUCCAUUCCACGGGUUCCGUGCCGUAGCUAACGCUUUAAGUACCCCGCCUGGGGAGUACGGCCGCAAGGCUAAAACUCAAAGGAAUUGACGGGGCCCCGCACAAGCGGCGGAGCAUGCGGAUUAAUUCGAUGCAACGCGUAGAACCUUACCUGGGUUUGACAUGGAUCGGGAGUGCUCAGAGAUGGGUGUGCCUCUUUUGGGGUCGGUUCACAGGUGGUGCAUGGCUGUCGUCAGCUCGUGUCGUGAGAUGUUGGGUUAAGUCCCGCAACGAGCGCAACCCUUGUUCACUGUUGCCAGCACGUUAUGGUGGGGACUCAGUGGAGACCGCCGGGGUCAACUCGGAGGAAGGUGGGGAUGACGUCAAGUCAUCAUGCCCCUUAUGUCCAGGGCUUCACGCAUGCUACAAUGGCUGGUACAGAGAGUGACGAGCCUGUGAGGGUGAGCGAAUCUCGGAAAGCCGGUCUCAGUUCGGAUUGGGGUCUGCAACUCGACCUCAUGAAGUCGGAGUCGCUAGUAAUCGCAGAUCAGCAACGCUGCGGUGAAUACGUUCCCGGGGCUUGUACACACCGCCCGUCAAGUCAUGAAAGUUGGUAACACCCGAAGCCGGUGGCCUAACCGAAGUGGGGGAGCCGUCGAAGGUGGGACUGGUGAUUAGGACUAAA
rnacentral:rRNA from 1 species